UUCGCCUGUGGCUUUGUUGGUUCAUUUGUUUCAGUUCACUACAUCCAGUUUGUUUUCCUGCGCCUCAUAUUUCAAGGAUUUAAAGGUUCUGAUGCUGACAACUUGGCACCUGAUGUACAGGACGGGUUUACAGUGCAGCAUGGUAGAGAUGGAGCAGCGCCGUGCAGUCUUUGCCUCCGUUGAACCCGACACAGACCUCCUCUGUCGAAUACUGAUCUAGUGCAGCCUCUAUCGUCUUCAGAGCAGACAGAACUUUCUCACCCAGCGGUGUCCCUGUGGUGAAUGAAAUCAACGAAGGACAUUUUACAGUUCUACAGAGGAUAUAAAAAAAAAUGUUAGGAGUAAUAUCAAUGAUCGCUCAUAUCUACAUCAAAUAAAAAUAAAAUUAUCUUCUCA